AGGAUUUCAACAUGCUAAAGUGCUUCAGGGGUCUGAAGUGACCCUUUAAAAAGGUAAAAUUGAGGCUAAAACACCUGAUUUGGAAAAAGUUCACAUUCUAUUUUAGCCUCAGUUUAGUGAAACUUGAUAUCGUGACACCAAAGUUAGCUAGUUAAACAAAACAGGCAAAAGUUAUUUAACUAGACUUGCAUGAUAUAACAUCAGCUAACCAUUUCACAUGAUCUAUUGCCCAGCAUUUUUAAUAGGCUGUAUGCCAUUUAUUUUAAAAUAGAUCAGGGACUGACACAUAUUCUUAUGUCAUGUAUACCACAUGUAAAAAGCGAAAUAACAAAUAGAACCAUAGUGUUUAACCGUGUAACAUUAUGGCUACAUGAAUUUCAAAAGGCCACUUACACUUCAAAAAUUACAGAGUUCUUGUAAUAAAUUCAUAAUCCUCCAAAUAGUUAUUAACACUGGGACUUGCUCAACAGACGAGAUGAAUAUACUGGAACUCUGCUCAAUAGAUCAGCAUACCUUGUGUUAUGUUGAAGGAAAAUGCUCCUUUAAACCAAAAAUACAUUAGAAGGUGUGAUAGCAUUUGCAUCAACAUUACUUGCCUUCGAUUAACAAGUAAAUUAAUAGAAAAACAGACUAAAUUUAAGACCCAGAAAAAAGUAUCAUUACUUGAGGAAGCUCAAAAAAGAUUUUGCUUUGACAAAUCAUACUAAGUAGGGACCACAUUCUAUAGUGACAUGUGGCCGUAAAUCUGUUACCAUGCCAAAUUGAUUUGUGUCUUUAUAAAAAAAACGGACAGUACCUUUUGCCUUUUUGUAUACAGACUGGAGUCUCCUUUAAAUGGUUACUCCAAGCACCAUAACACCCUUUCUAUGAUUUAAAAUGGUCAUGGUACUUUGAGUCGGUAUUUCUAUGAAACACUGCACAAACAGAGUUUGACCCCUCUGCUGUCAGAAGUUUAACUCUAGGAGAAAAAGCAUGUAAGAUUAAAUAUUUAUACACUGUGAUAGAAUUUAUCUUGAUUCCAAGGCUCAAGCUUAUAGGUGUCAUAUAAUGAUAUCCUAUAUUAAAAUUGGCUAACUUGGACUCAGGAAAUGCUUGAUGCUUAACACAACACUUAAGACCAUAUAUGUCUAGUUCUGGGAGCAGAGAGCCCCCACCUGAGAUGUCUCUUCUCUAAUCUUUUUGUUCUUUCUUACCUUGGAACUUAUUUGUUAUGUGUACAUGACGUUCAUCCCUAUGUCUUAUUUGUACUCCCUUCCUAUUACUGUCCUAUGAGUAUUUGCACGUAAGCACUUACUUUUUAAAUGUAUAAAACCCAGCUGAUGAAUAAAACUGCAGAGGCUUAUUUUGAAU